rnacentral:rRNA from 1 species
GGGUUGUGAGGUUAAGCGACUAAGCGUACACGGUGGAUGCCCUGGCAGUCAGAGGCGAUGAAGGACGUGCUAAUCUGCGAUAAGCGUCGGUAAGGUGAUAUGAACCGUUAUAACCGGCGAUUUCCGAAUGGGGAAACCCAGUGUGAUUCGUCACACUAUCAUUAACUGAAUCCAUAGGUUAAUGAGGCGAACCGGGGGAACUGAAACAUCUAAGUACCCCGAGGAAAAGAAAUCAACCGAGAUUCCCCCAGUAGCGGCGAGCGAACGGGGAGCAGCCCAGAGCCUGAAUCAGUGUGUGUGUUAGUGGAAGCGUCUGGAAAGGCGCGCGAUACAGGGUGACAGCCCCGUACACAAAAAUGCACAUGCUGUGAGCUCGAUGAGUAGGGCGGGACACGUGGUAUCCUGUCUGAAUAUGGGGGGACCAUCCUCCAAGGCUAAAUACUCCUGACUGACCGAUAGUGAACCAGUACCGUGAGGGAAAGGCGAAAAGAACCCCGGCGAGGGGAGUGAAAAAGAACCUGAAACCGUGUACGUACAAGCAGUGGGAGCACGCUUAGGCGUGUGACUGCGUACCUUUUGUAUAAUGGGUCAGCGACUUAUAUUCUGUAGCAAGGUUAACCGAAUAGGGGAGCCGAAGGGAAACCGAGUCUUAACUGGGCGUUAAGUUGCAGGGUAUAGACCCGAAACCCGGUGAUCUAGCCAUGGGCAGGUUGAAGGUUGGGUAACACUAACUGGAGGACCGAACCGACUAAUGUUGAAAAAUUAGCGGAUGACUUGUGGCUGGGGGUGAAAGGCCAAUCAAACCGGGAGAUAGCUGGUUCUCCCCGAAAGCUAUUUAGGUAGCGCCUCGUGAAUUCAUCUCCGGGGGUAGAGCACUGUUUCGGCAAGGGGGUCAUCCCGACUUACCAACCCGAUGCAAACUGCGAAUACCGGAGAAUGUUAUCACGGGAGACACACGGCGGGUGCUAACGUCCGUCGUGAAGAGGGAAACAACCCAGACCGCCAGCUAAGGUCCCAAAGUCAUGGUUAAGUGGGAAACGAUGUGGGAAGGCCCAGACAGCCAGGAUGUUGGCUUAGAAGCAGCCAUCAUUUAAAGAAAGCGUAAUAGCUCACUGGUCGAGUCGGCCUGCGCGGAAGAUGUAACGGGGCUAAACCAUGCACCGAAGCUGCGGCAGCGACGCUUAUGCGUUGUUGGGUAGGGGAGCGUUCUGUAAGCCUGUGAAGGUGUGCUGUGAGGCAUGCUGGAGGUAUCAGAAGUGCGAAUGCUGACAUAAGUAACGAUAAAGCGGGUGAAAAGCCCGCUCGCCGGAAGACCAAGGGUUCCUGUCCAACGUUAAUCGGGGCAGGGUGAGUCGACCCCUAAGGCGAGGCCGAAAGGCGUAGUCGAUGGGAAACAGGUUAAUAUUCCUGUACUUGGUGUUACUGCGAAGGGGGGACGGAGAAGGCUAUGUUGGCCGGGCGACGGUUGUCCCGGUUUAAGCGUGUAGGCUGGUUUUCCAGGCAAAUCCGGAAAAUCAAGGCUGAGGCGUGAUGACGAGGCACUACGGUGCUGAAGUAACAAAUGCCCUGCUUCCAGGAAAAGCCUCUAAGCAUCAGGUAACAUCAAAUCGUACCCCAAACCGACACAGGUGGUCAGGUAGAGAAUACCAAGGCGCUUGAGAGAACUCGGGUGAAGGAACUAGGCAAAAUGGUGCCGUAACUUCGGGAGAAGGCACGCUGAUAUGUAGGUGAAGCGACUUGCUCGUGGAGCUGAAAUCAGUCGAAGAUACCAGCUGGCUGCAACUGUUUAUUAAAAACACAGCACUGUGCAAACACGAAAGUGGACGUAUACGGUGUGACGCCUGCCCGGUGCCGGAAGGUUAAUUGAUGGGGUCAGCGCAAGCGAAGCUCUUGAUCGAAGCCCCGGUAAACGGCGGCCGUAACUAUAACGGUCCUAAGGUAGCGAAAUUCCUUGUCGGGUAAGUUCCGACCUGCACGAAUGGCGUAAUGAUGGCCAGGCUGUCUCCACCCGAGACUCAGUGAAAUUGAACUCGCUGUGAAGAUGCAGUGUACCCGCGGCAAGACGGAAAGACCCCGUGAACCUUUACUAUAGCUUGACACUGAACAUUGAGCCUUGAUGUGUAGGAUAGGUGGGAGGCUUGGAAGUGUGGACGCCAGUCUGCAUGGAGCCGACCUUGAAAUACCACCCUUUAAUGUUUGAUGUUCUAACGUUGACCCGUAAUCCGGGUUGCGGACAGUGUCUGGUGGGUAGUUUGACUGGGGCGGUCUCCUCCUAAAGAGUAACGGAGGAGCACGAAGGUUGGCUAAUCCUGGUCGGACAUCAGGAGGUUAGUGCAAUGGCAUAAGCCAGCUUGACUGCGAGCGUGACGGCGCGAGCAGGUGCGAAAGCAGGUCAUAGUGAUCCGGUGGUUCUGAAUGGAAGGGCCAUCGCUCAACGGAUAAAAGGUACUCCGGGGAUAACAGGCUGAUACCGCCCAAGAGUUCAUAUCGACGGCGGUGUUUGGCACCUCGAUGUCGGCUCAUCACAUCCUGGGGCUGAAGUAGGUCCCAAGGGUAUGGCUGUUCGCCAUUUAAAGUGGUACGCGAGCUGGGUUUAGAACGUCGUGAGACAGUUCGGUCCCUAUCUGCCGUGGGCGCUGGAGAACUGAGGGGGGCUGCUCCUAGUACGAGAGGACCGGAGUGGACGCAUCACUGGUGUUCGGGUUGUCAUGCCAAUGGCACUGCCCGGUAGCUAAAUGCGGAAGAGAUAAGUGCUGAAAGCAUCUAAGCACGAAACUUGCCCCGAGAUGAGUUCUCCCUGACUCCUUGAGAGUCCUGAAGGAACGUUGAAGACGACGACGUUGAUAGGCCGGGUGUGUAAGCGCAGCGAUGCGUUGAGCUAACCGGUACUAAUGAACCGUGAGGCUUAACCUUACAACGCCGAAGCUGUU